UGAGAGUAAUGUAGUUAAAGAGGUUGCGGAUCAAUUUAUGGAUCAAUCUGUAGGGGAUGUAGUUAAAGAGUUUAUUACACUCUUAGGGUAUGACAUUUACCAAGUGGGUAUCGCUAUGGACAAGUUUGAUAGAUCGGGGUCACCAAUAGAUGCUGCAGACUAGCUACGCAAGAUAGAGAAGGUCAUGGAUGGGUGUAUAGGCAAUAUAGAGAAGGUCAUGGAUGGGUGUAUGAUUACUCUUUAGGACUCCUAAAGUCUUCUUUAUACCCAUGGUGCUAUCACUUGGGAGGUCUUCUUAUAACAGUUUAGAGCUAAGUUUUAUCCCACAGUUUUUAAGAAUAGGAUAGCUAAUGCGCUACAAGGAAGUAAGUUAGUGGAUGAGAAUGAGAUGAAAUUCUUUAGUAUUGUCCCCUUCGUGCCUAAUGUGGUGUCACACCUGAUUUUAAAACAAAAUCAAUUGCUACCUAU
rnacentral:lncRNA from 1 species